rnacentral:sRNA from 1 species
GUAACCUUCUGAUUUUUCAGCACACUGCCAAAUCGACCACUUGAGGUCACCACUCAACGCUGGCCACAAGCGGUAUGGCGACCACCUAAGGCUGG